rnacentral:lncRNA from 1 species
AUAUUACAAAGCAUUUUCCAAGACCCUCUGACUUGUUCUGCAAGGCACUGAUAUCAAAUGGACAAAAGCCCACUCACAACAGGCCCAAUCCACAGGCGGCCCAAAAUAACUGGCUCGCUAGGCGAGCAGCUCCUUCGCCUAGCGAACAUUGCCUCAUGCCACUCGCCCAGCGAAGAGUUGGACCCAGGAAAAAGCCCAGACCUAGUUUGCUCGCUAGGCGAGCAAUUCCUUCGCCUAGCGAAGCUCGCGAAAGUUUGAAGUUUUGGACCUCAUUCUAAGCCCAUUAGGUCACCACUACCACUACUAUAAAUACCUA